UAGGGAAUAUUGGUCAAUGGGCGAGAGCCUGAACCAGCCAUGCCGCGUGCAGGACGACGGCCUUCUGGGUUGUAAACUGCUUUUAUACAGGAACAAAAAGGCUCUGCGGAGCAAAUUGCGUGUACCUGAAGAAUAAGCACCGGCUAACUCCGUGCCAGCAGCCGCGGUAAUACGGAGGGUGCAAGCGUUGUCCGGAUUUAUUGGGUUUAAAGGGUGCGUAGGCGGUCAAUUAAGUCAGUGGUGAAAUCCUGCAGCUCAACUGUAGAACUGCCAUUGGUACUGGUUGACUUGAGUACAGACGAGGUAGGCGGAAUUUAUGGUGUAGCGGUGAAAUGCAUAGAUACCAUAAAGAACACCUAUAGCGAAGGCAGCUUACUAGACUGUAACUGACGCUGAGGCACGAAAGCGUGGGGAGCGAACAGGAUUAGAUACCCGGGUAGUCC
rnacentral:rRNA from 1 species